UGUAAUUCGUCGUGUUGAAGUGGAGAAAUGAAACUAUACCUAACCUAAUAUUCCAAACGCCGUUGUCCCGGCGGCUGUAAAUCCGUGGACGAUUAUAAUUCAACGCGAUGUUUUUUUUGU
rnacentral:telomerase_RNA from 1 species